GAUGUCGUGACAGAGUGGUUAAUGUGUAUGACUCGAAUAUUACGUGACUCGAUAUCAUAUGGCUUCGGCCGCGCAGGGUAUGUCUAAUCCUCUUGCUUGAAAGAAGAAAGCUUACGUAAGCCGAAAGUUCGAAUCCUGCCGACAUCG